rnacentral:rRNA from 1 species
CGUGGGUAACCUGCCUCUGAAUUGGGGACGACUCCGCGAAAGCGGGGCUAAUACCGAAUGUGGUCGAGUGUCGCAUGGGACAACGAUUAAAGAUAGGGAUCCUUCGGGACCUGUCGUUCAGAGAGGGGCCCGCGUGCCAUCAGCUUGUUGGUGGGGUAAUGGCCCACCAAGGCUUACGGCUAGGUGGUCUGAGAGGACGAUCACCCACACUGGGACUGAGACACUGCCCAGACUCCUACGGGAGGCUGCAGUCGAGGAUCAUUGUCAAUGCGCGAAAGCGUGAACAUGCGACGCUGCGUGGAGGAUGACGGCCUUCGGGUUGUAAACUCCUGUCAUUCGGGAAAAAUGGUCCUGUCCCUAAUAUGGGCGGGAUUUGAUGGUACCGGAAGAGGAAGCCACGGCUAACUCUGUGCCAGCAGCCGCGGUAAUACAGAGGUGGCGAGCGUUGUUCGGAUUUACUGGGCGUAAAGGGUGCGUAGGUGGCUUUGUGUGUUGGAUGUGAAAUCCCAUGGCUCAACUGUGGAAUUGCAUUCAAAACUGCAGGGCUGGAGUGCAGGAGGGGAGAGCGGAAUUCUAGGUGUAGCGGUGAAAUGCGUUGAUAUCUAGAAGAACACCGGUGGCGAAGGCGGCUCUCUGGAAUGUUACUGACACUGAGGCACGAAAGCUGGGGGAGCAAACAGGAUUAGAUACCCUGGUAGUCCCAGCCGUAAACGGUGCACACUUGGUGUAGGGGGUAUUGACCCCCCCUGUGCCGGAGCUAACGCGUUAAGUGUGCCGCCUGGGGAGUACGGCCGCAAGGCUAAAACUCAAAGAAAUUGACGGGGGCCCGCACAAGCGGAGGAGCAUGUGGCUUAAUUCGAUGCAACGCGAAGAACCUUACCAGGGCUUGACAUGCAGCUGCUUCCUCCCUGAAAGGGGAGGGUCCAUCGAGGGUGCUGCACAGGUGCUGCAUGGCUGUCGUCAGUUCGUGCCGUGAGGUGUUGGGUUAAGUCCCGCAACGAACGCAACCCUUGUGUUUAGUUGCCACCGGAGGUGAUGAGCCUUCGAGCACUCUAGACAGACUGCCCGUACAAGCGGGAGGAAGGUGGGGAUGACGUCAAGUCAGUAUGGCCCUUACGCCCUGGGCUGCACACGUGCUACAAUGGCUGGUACAGAAGGAUGCAAUACCGCGAGGUGGAGCGAAUCCCGAAAGCCAGCCCCAGUUCGGAUUGGAGUCUGCAACUCGACUCCAUGAAGUUGGAUUCGCUAGUAACGGCGUAUCAGCUACGACGCCGUGAAUACGUUCCCGGGCCUUGUACACACCGCCCGUCACAUCAUGAAAGCCGUCUGGACCCGAAGUCGCUGAGCUAACCCGCAAGGGAGGCAGGUGCCGAAGGUCUGGGUGGUGAUUGGGAUGAAGUCGUAACAAGGUA